rnacentral:rRNA from 1 species
AGAGUUUGAUCCUGGCUCAGAUUGAACGCUGGCGGCAGGCCUAACACAUGCAAGUCGAGCGAGAAAGCACUUCGGUGUGAGUACAGCGGCGGACGGGUGAGUAACGCGUAGGAAUCUACCUAGUAGUGGGGGACAACAUGUGGAAACGCAUGCUAAUACCGCAUACGCCCUAUGGGGGAAAGCAGGGGAUCUUCGGACCUUGCGCUAUUGGAUGAGCCUGCGUCAGAUUAGCUAGUUGGUGGGGUAAUGGCCUACCAAGGCAACGAUCUGUAGCUGGUCUGAGAGGAUGAUCAGCCACACUGGGACUGAGACACGGCCCAGACUCCUACGGGAGGCAGCAGUGGGGAAUAUUGGACAAUGGGCGAAAGCCUGAUCCAGCCAUGCCGCGUGUGUGAAGAAGGCUCUAGGGUUGUAAAGCACUUUCAGUAGGGAGGAAAAGUUAGUAGUUAAUAACUGCUAACCCUGACGUUACCUACAGAAGAAGCACCGGCAAACUCCGUGCCAGCAGCCGCGGUAAUACGGAGGGUGCGAGCGUUAAUCGGAAUUACUGGGCGUAAAGCGCGCGUAGGCGGUUUGAUAAGCUGGAUGUGAAAGCCCUGGGCUUAACCUGGGAACUGCAUCCAGAACUGUCUGACUAGAGUACAGUAGAGGUGAGUGGAAUUUCCUGUGUAGCGGUGAAAUGCGUAGAUAUAGGAAGGAACAUCAGUGGCGAAGGCGGCUCACUGGACUGAUACUGACGCUGAGGUGCGAAAGCGUGGGGGAGCAAACAGGAUUAGAUACCCUGGUAGUCCACGCCGUAAACGAUGUCUACUAGCCCGUUGGGAUCCUUGAGGUCUUAGUGGCGCAGCU